GGUCUAGGUAUGUUUCGCUCACAUUUCACGACGUCGUGAAUGCGCGCUUGUUGCCAUUAAGCAAUUUGUACCUGAGAUUCCUUCCUGUCUGAUGUUGAUACUGGUAUGCGGAGGUAUGAUGCUUCAAGUGAGCUGUUGGAAUAGUUCCGGUCAUUAAUCACAGUUGAGUUGCAUGGACCAAGGACGCUAUUAUUGAGGAUUUCAGUGUGUCUAUGUGAGCAUGUACUGGUCGCCCUGUGUCGGAUCCGUUCUACUCACACUGAUAAUACACGAGCAUCGUUACAUUGGGGCGAGGUAAACAGAUCGUUAGCAGACAAACAAAGUAAUUAGCCAAAACUUGGGGGAAAUGAGAGAGGAGUUAAUUCCACAACGGAACGAUUUAACGAUCAAACCUUUUACCUACGACCUCCUCGACUGGAUUUGUAAUGAUGGAACGCCGGGUAUGGAUUUCAGCUGUAAGAGUAAUGUGUAAUUGCACAGCAUACACAAGAUUUAUCCUUGGUCGGUCACGUGACAGGGGAAUGGUCUAGACAAGUUGGUCAUUUUGGCGUCGAGGGAUACGCAUGGCAUCAUACGUUUUACCGCUGUAGCGUGUGGUAUAUCUGAUUCUAAGAAAUUGGAAAUAGAAUUAAUGGUUCCGCUUUGGACGAUGUGAUAGUUUUUCCCUUUGCUUUAUUACGUUUUAAACCCGUAUUCCGAAGUUGAAUUUUCAAUUUAGCUUGUGUUGUACGUGGUAACAAAGACAAACGUUAUAUAUAAGCGUGUUUCAAUCGUUA